rnacentral:tRNA from 1 species
GCAGUGGUGGUUCAGUGGUAGAAUUCUUGCCUUCCAUGCAGGAGGCCAGGGUUCAGUUCCCAGCCAGUGCA